UUCCACCCAUCUCCUCACCCACUCCAGUCAGGUACCCCUUUUUCCACUCUUAUCUGUGCUCACCCCGACUAGCUCCCACCUCGAUCUGUAUUAGAAAAGCUGCCGGUGGAGGAGCUUGUGUGGCCGGCAUGUUCUUAUCAGUCCCACUGUUUCAAGUUGGCAUGGAAGGUGUUGUCUGAGUCCGUUAAGGAGGACGCCGCUGCCUGGCACCAGCACAUGCCCAGCAUGGAGACGGUGUGCCACCAAGGCAAGUCGUUGCGCGACUGCAACUCGAGCUCGCCGCCUCGAUGCUGUCAGUUUACCCCAUCCACGAGAUGUUGCUUCAGUGCAAUAAGAGACCUUGGAAGCUUUGGGAAGGAACGAGAAGACGAAGGAGUGGCCCACUAGGCACCAGGGCACGCCAGGGGCCUGGGGUGCGCCCUGGUACCUAGUGGGGCCCACAAGCCUCCAUUUGACCUAACUCUGCCUCUACAAAUACUCUAAAAUCAGAAAGCCUACCAGGGAGUCCACGAAAUACUUUUUACGCUGCCACAAGCCUCUGUUCUUGAGAGAUCCCAUCUGAGCACCCUUUCUAGCACUCUGCCGGAGGGGGGAUCAAUCACGGAGGGGAUCUACAUCAACCUUGCUUCCCCUCGGAUGAUGUGUGAGUAGUUUACCACAGACCUAUGAGUUCAUAGAUAGUAGCUAGAUGGCUUCUUCUCUCUCGAUGUUCUUCAAUACAAUGUUCUCCUUGAUGUUCUUGGAGUUCUAUCCUAUGUAAUUCCUUUUUGGGGUGUGUUCGUUGGGAUCCGAUGAAUUGUGAGUUUAUGAUCAGAUCUAUCCAUGAAUAUUAUUUGAUUUUUCUCUGAA